CCUACGGGCGGCUGCAGUGAGGAAUAUUGGUCAAUGGGCGCAAGCCUGAACCGGCCAAGUCGCGUGAGGGAUGACGGUCCUAUGGAUUGUAAACCUCUUUUGUCGGGGAGCAAGGCCCGCCACGUGUGGCGGGAAGGAGAGUACCCGAAGAAAAAGCAUCGGCUAACUCCGUGCCAGCAGCCGCGGUAAUACGGAGGAUGAGAGCGUUAUCCGGCUUUAUUGGGUUUAAAGGGUGCGUAGGCGGAAGGUUAAGUCAGCGGUCAAAUGUCGGUGCUCAACACCGGCCUGCCGUUGAAACUGGUCGUCUUGAGUGAGCGAGAAGUAUGCGGAAUGCGUGGUGUAGCGGUGAAAUGCAUAGAUAUCACGAAGAACUCCGAUUGCGAAGGCAGCAUACCGGCGCGCAACUGACGCUGAGGCACGAAAGCGUGGGGAUCGAACAGGAUUAGAUACCCUAGUAGUC
rnacentral:rRNA from 1 species